CCUGGGGUUGAUACCCCAGGCUAUUAUCUGUCGUCCCUAAAGGGACU
rnacentral:sRNA from 1 species